UACGUAGGGUGCAAGCGUUGUCCGGAAUUAUUGGGCGUAAAGAGCUCGUAGGCGGUUUGUUGCGUCGGCUGUGAAAACCUGAGGCUCAACCUCAGGCCUGCAGUCGAUACGAGCAGACUAGAGUGUUGCAGGGGAGACUGGAAUUCCUGGUGUAGCGGUGAAAUUCGUAGAUAUCGGGAGGAACACCAGUGGCGAAGGCGGCGAUCUGGGAAGAUACUGACGCUGAGGUGCGAAAGCGUGGGGAGCAAACGGG
rnacentral:rRNA from 1 species